rnacentral:rRNA from 1 species
CCUACGGGUGACAGCAGUGGGGGAUAUUGCACAAUGGGGGGAACCCUGAUGCAGCGACGCCGCGUGGGUGAAGGAGCGUUUCGGCGCGUAAAGCCCUAUCGGCAGGGAAGAAGGAGGACGGUACCUGACGAAGAAGCCCCGGCUAACUACGUGCAAGCAGCCGCGGUAAAACGUAGGGGGCAAGCGUUAUCCGGAUUUACGGGGUGUAAAGGGGGCGCAGACGGCAGCGCAAGCCAGGAGUGAAAGCCCGGGGCCCAACCCCGGGACUGCUCUUGGAACUGCGCGGCUGGCGUGCAGGGGGGGCAGGCGGAAUUCCUGGUGUAGCGGUUACAUGCGUAGAUAUCAGGCGGAACACCGGUGGCGAAGGCGGCCUGCUGGACUGCGACUGACGUUGAGGCCCGAAAGCGUGGGGAGCAAACAGGAUUAGAUACCCUUGUAGUC